GUAGCGCCGCAAAACAGGGACCCCAUCGUUUCCAUCUUCUUCUUCGAAGAAGCAUCCUUCACCAUGGCUUGAUCUUAACCAAAAUAUACAGCAUCCUCCGUUGUCAACACAAACGACGCACCCCCCAUCCUAGGUACUGAUCAUCUUCUUCAUUCAUAGAAGAAGCAACCUGCUGCCAUAGCUUCUUAAACCAAAAACGAUCCUCCACCUCCAAACGCCAUAGCCGCUGCUCAUUCUUCUUCCCUUUCACAAAAAUCGACCAUCCCACUCACGCACCAUAAGGAGAGAACAGGAAAAGAGUAGAAACGCAGCAGCAUGUUUUGUAUUAUGUCCAUUGAUUUCAUCUUUUGGGGUUUAGCUCGAGUUUUUCGGUAAGCUUCAAGGUCGUCGAAAGUCGUUGUCCGAAUUUCCGUUUCAGUCGCACGUCGAGAUACUAUCGUUGGUUUCCGGUUCGAGUUCCGUCCAAAGUUCAUCGGAUUGAGAUAUGGGAUUCGCCUAAGAUAACAUAUGCAUCCCUUCUUUAAAAGCUUGCCAACCUAGAAGCUUGCCAGUCCUGCUUGAUCCGCUCCUAUUGGCUCGCCCUCCGCCAUGAGUGCCACAUGUUCCCUUUUGAAAUUUUUUAGUUGAUCGUGUAUUUUUUUAAUUAUGGAGGUUAAAUAUUACUACACCUUUGAAUAAUUGUUUGUGCUUCAGUCCUUGUAUGUAACGUAUAGCACCAAUAAGCCAUAAAGUUCUAGUUAGUUUUC